CGUAAGUCCAAGGCGUACGUAAUCUACGGAACUAGGCCUGAGCCGGAAGAUUUUUGAUUGACAGGAAAGGGAGCAAACCAAACGCCUCGGUCCGAGCGCAUUGAUUGGCUGAUGUUUUUCAGGUCCUGCCAUGUCCACAGUUUUUUGUUUUUUUAAAAAAUUCUUUUAUAGAUCAUACAUACAAGUCCACUAAAGGUCAGUAUAUUCAUUUUAUGUGAAUCAGACAAAUUAAACAAAAACAAAAAAACAUCCUCUAUAAUGCCUUUAAGUGCUCACAUCAGAAUUCAGAAAGCAUUUUAAGUGCACGUGAUCUCAGUAAUAAUAAAACUGAAAGGAAUCUCUUUGUCACAUCUGUUUAAUUUUUUGUUUUUGUUUUUUUUACAGUUGAUUGUAUGUGUAUCACAUUGUAAUACAAGAUAACUGUUUCAAUUAUCACAGACAAAAACAUAUGUGUUGUCAUCAUUUUUCAUUAAGAAAAACAAAUUAUCAUCUGCUGUUUGUAUGUACAGUUCUCUUAACCCAUGCUAACCUUUCUUUUCAGAGAGAGGACCCAGGAAACCCCUGCUUACAAGCAGGACUUUAGACAUGUGUCAGGCAAUAGUCAAAGCUAGACUGUAUCAGCGCUUUAACCGACCGCAGUCCUGAUCAUUCCCAAGAAGUUCCAUAUGAAUACAUGACUUUGCCAAACGUUAUGCCAAAUCCAUUAACAUAGCCAAAAUUAUCAACAAAAAAAUCAAACAUGCUUAAAUCUAAUUAAUAAAAAGGUGAUGGACAGGGUAAAAAAAAA